rnacentral:rRNA from 1 species
GACGAACGCUGGCGGCGUGCUUAACACAUGCAAGUCGAACGGAAAGGCCCUGCUUUUGUUGGGUGCUCGAGUGGCGAACGGGUGAGUAACACGUGAGUAACCUGCCCUUGACUUUGGGAUAACUUCCGGAAACUGGUGCUAAUACCGGAUAGGAGCUCCUGCUGCAUGGUGGGGGUUGGACAGUUUCGGCGGUUGGGGAUGUACUCGCGUCUUAUCAGCUUGUUGGUGGGGUAGUGGCUUACCAAGGCUUGGACGGGUAGCCGGACUGAGAGGGUGACCGGCCACAGUGGGACAGAGAUACGGCCCAGACUCAGACGGGAGGCAGGAGUGGGGAAUAGUGCACAAUGGGCGGAAGCCGGAUGCAGCAACGCCGGGUGGGGGAUGACGGCCUGCGGGUUGUAAACCGCUUGCGCCUGUGACGAAGCGUGAGGGAGGGUAAUGGGUAAAGAAGAACCGGCUAACUACGU